CCUAAUAAGUUUCAGGAAAUGCAGAAUCCUCCCAGAAUAAAUUUCAAUCGAUAUUCUACCUUCUGACAAAAAAAAGCCUCAUCUUUGAAAACACCCUAUAGUCUAAUGCAUCCAGAGUUAAUUUCAAAAAAGCUGGAAUUUCAUUUCACAACUAAGUUUCUAAAUUCCUACUACUGUUGUGUGUUGAAUAAUUAGUUGUAUUUUUUUUUAUUCCGUGGCUCACACCAUGUUGAAAUUGCUAUUUUUCGUCUUCUGUCAAAUCUUCCUUAUGUGGGACUUGAAAUACAAGAAUCCGUACCUCGAAUAUCCAAAAUGAACUAAUACCUUUUUCCCUACUUUGUUUCAUUCUAUAGGUUUCCUCUGAACCCUGAAAUAACUGGUUUCCUUCAUCCUAUGCAAGGAUUUGUUCCAUUUAUUUCAAAGAAGAGGAUUUGGAUAGAAUCUCUCUUCCAUAUGUAAGAGUCAGAGAACAUGCUGUAAUUUCCAUUUUCCUUCAAAAGAGGUUAUCACAGCUACCCUCAUAAAAUAGAAGAGUUACCUGUCGAACCCAUGGACUUUCGAGAAUUCCAUGGUGAUUGAGAUGGUUCCAUCAACCUCAAGGGACUCCAUAGAUGAAGUUACACUUAUGGAAGGAAAUGAAACAAAUGUUCUAGAAAAUACCGCUCCGAAAUAUAAAUCACUAAUACACCAUAUCCUAUUGCAGAGAUUGUGUGUUGAUCCGAAUAUUGUAUAUUUUGUGAAUAAAUUGCACGUUCUGUAAAUUAUUUCCUGUAUAAAUCUUGUAUAAUUAUAAUAAAUAUCAAUAAUUUUA